AUAAGCUAAAUUAAAAUUUAAUUAAUAAUCUUUUUUUAGCGCCUGGAUUUCUUGCAGAGGACACCAGUAGUAGUUCAUCUGGAACAGAUGGCUACGAAAUGCUGGGGGUUAUGGGUGAGAUAGUGAGUGAGGAGUCAAAUUUGACUUCUGAUGAGGAUGACGCUAAUGAUAGCGAUGAUAUGGAAGAACUGAGUGCAGAAAUAGAGCAUUCUGAGUCAUCUUCCACGAAUGAUGAAGAUGGUGAGAUUUUG